CAAAAAGUGGUCAAUCAUGAUCAAUUUUUCAGAUGUACAACCACAUACAUGACAUACAUGAACCUGAGGGAAACAUGGAUUUAUAGACACUAAAAUACAUCUAAUUUAGAUUUCAUAAGUGCAGCUCUGGGAAUUUGUUGGUGUAACUAGUAUGAAAAAUUAGAAUUAAAAUGGAAUCAGAAGGCGGUUGAGAGAUAGAGAGGAAAGGAUCUUUGGAGAUUUGCUAGAUGGAGGGAAAAGCAGAUGGCCCAGCACUUUUCCUACCUGCUGGUGGGUGUGGGUGGAUCAGUGUACACACUUGUGUACACGUGCAUGUGUGUUCUCAUGCGUGUGUGUUCACAUAGGUCAACAGAGUUACGCCAGAUCUAUCUCUGUUCUGAGCCAGAUGGUAACAGAGAGGAGGGUAGACCCCUGCUACCAUGUAAAUAGGUUGCCAGGCCAACAGAGAGAUUCACCAAAGAGGUAUAUAAAAUAUCAGACACAAACUGAAAUUGAACUGAAUCAAUCGACAGGUCAAAGGGGCACAAACAUUUUGGGAACAGACUGAAAAUUAAACAACUGAUUUCUUCUGAGAAAGAUGUAAUCAAUAUCCAGGAAUGUCAUUGUGAGGGUCACAUGGAAACCUUCCUCACUAAUGUUAGUAAUUUCCUGCUGCCGGACAGGCUCUCCUGAUGCUGAUGGCUGAACCAAAU
ensembl:lncRNA